CCUACGGGUGGCAGCAGUAGGGAAUGUUGCGCAAUGGGCGAAAGCCUGACGCAGCAACACCGCGUGAAUGAUAAGAACUUCGGGGUGUAAAGUUCUGUGAAUAGGGACGAAGAUUGACUGUACCUAUAAAGGAAGCACCGGCUAACUCCGUGCCAGAAGCCGCGGUAAUACGGGGGGUGCAAGCGUUGUCCGGACUCAUGGGGCGUAAAGCGUUCGUAGGCGGCAAGGUAAGUCUGAUGUUAAAGCCCGGGGCUCAACUCCGGUUCGGCAUUGGAUACUCUCUAGCUAGAAUGUGGUAGUGGUAACUGGACUUCCUGGUGUAGCGGUGAAAUGCGUAGAUAUCAGGAGGAACAUCGGUGGCGAACGCGCUUUACUGGACCAUUAUUGACGCUGAGGUACGACAGC
rnacentral:rRNA from 1 species